AGCUUAAUACAUGCAAGUCGAGGGGCAGCGCGGGUAACAUACCUGAGUCGGCAGACCGGCAACGGGUGCGGAACACGUACGCAACCUUCCCGAAACUGGUGAAUAGCCCUCCGAAAGGAGGAUUAUACACCGUAACAUAAUGAAGUGGCAUCACUUUAUUAUUAUAGCUCCGGCGGUUAAAGAUGGGCGUGCGCCUGAUUAGGUAGUUGGCGGGGUAACGGCCACAAGCCUGGAUCAGUAACUGGUGUGAGAGCACGACCAGUCACACGGGCACUGAGACACGGGCCCGAUCCUACGGGAGGCAAGCAGUAAGGAAUAUUUGGUCAAUGGACGCAAGUCUGAACCAGCCAAUGCCGCAGUGGAAGGAUUAAGGCCCUCUGGGUUGUAAACUUC
rnacentral:rRNA from 1 species